rnacentral:tRNA from 1 species
GUCGAGGUGGCAGAGGGAUGUGUCAAAUUUAAGUUUUGGAGAGGGUAUCGGCU